AUUACUUUGGCAGAUUAGUGCUUUAAAUUUAGAAUUUAAAUAUACAUAAUAUUAAAUAUGUAAGUAAUA
rnacentral:tRNA from 1 species